CAAGUUACCCAAUCUCGAUGCGAGGAGGUAGUGACAAUUAAUAACAAUACCGGGCCUACAUAGGUCUGGUAGUUGGAAUGAGUACAAUUUAAAUCCCUUAACGAGGAUCCACUGGAGGGCAAGUCUGGUGCCAGCAGCCGCGGUAAUUCCAGCUCCAGUAGCGUAUUUUAAAGUUGUUGCAGUUAAAAAGCUCGUAGUUGGAUUUCUGGUACGCUGCGCCUGGCCCGCCGCCCUCGAGGUUGGUGUGUGCUGGAGCGCGGUUGCCAUCCUUCUAGAGAACGUUUCUACCCUUUACUGGGCCGGAUUCGCAAUCUAGAUUAUUUACUUUGAAAAAAUUAGAGUGUUUAAAGCAGGCAAUUGCCAUGAAUACAUUAGCAUGGAAUAAUAAUAUAGGACUUUGGUUCUAUUUUGUUGGUUUCUAGGACUAAAGUAAUGAUUGAUAGGGAUAGUUGGGGGUGCUCGUAUUUAGCGGCCAGAGGUGAAAUUCUUGGAUUCGCUAAAGACGAACUUAUGCGAAAGCAUUCACCAAGGAUGUCUUCUUUAAUCAAGAACGAAAGUUGGGGGAUCGAAGACGAUCAGAUACCGUCGUAGUCUCAACCAUAAACUAUGCCGACUAGGGAUGGGUGAACGUUGCAUUUCGACUUCAUCCGCACCUUAUGAGAAAUCAAAGUCUUUGGGUUCCGGGGGGAGUAUGGUCGCAAGGCUGAAACUUAAAGGAAUUGACGGAAGGGCACCACCAGGAGAGGAGCCUGCGGCUUAAUUUCACUCAACACGG
rnacentral:rRNA from 1 species